ACUCCUACGGGAGGCAGCAGUGGGGAAUAUUGCACAAUGGGGGAAACCCUGAUGCAGCCAUGCCGCGUGUGUGAAGAAGGCCUUCGGGUUGUAAAGCACUUUCAGUAGGGAGGAAGGUAGUGUAGUUAACACCUGCAUUAUUUGACGUUACCUACAGAAGAAGCACCGGCUAACUCCGUGCCAGCAGCCGCGGUAAUACGGAGGGUGCGAGCGUUAAUCGGAAUUACUGGGCGUAAAGCGCAUGCAGGCGGCCUGUUAAGUCAGAUGUGAAAGCCCGGGGCUUAACCUCGGAAUUGCAUUUGAAACUGGCAGGCUAGAGUCUUGUAGAGGGGGGUAGAAUUUCAGGUGUAGCGGUGAAAUGCGUAGAGAUCUAGAAGGAAUACCAGUGGCGAAGGCGGCCCCCUGGACAAAGACUGACGCUCAGAUGCGAAAGCGUGGGGAAGCAAACAGGAUUAGAUACCCUGGUAGCACAGAG
rnacentral:rRNA from 1 species